rnacentral:rRNA from 1 species
AGAGUUUGAUCCUGGCUCAGGAUGAACGCUGGCGGCGUGCCUAAUACAUGCAAGUCGAACGGACUGUGGUGAUUAUGAUUAGAGAGCUUGCUCGAAGAGAUUAAUCACAAUGCAGUCAGUGGCGAACGGGUGAGUAACACGUGGGAAACCUACCUCUUAGCAGGGGAUAACAUUUGGAAACAGAUGCUAAUACCGUAUAACAAUUAGAACCGCAUGGUUCAAGUUUAAAAGAUGGUUCUGCUAUCACUAAGAGAUGGUCCCGCGGCGUAUUAGCUAGAUGGUGAGGUAAUGGCUCACCAUGGCAAUGAUACGUAGCCGAGUUGAGAGACUGAUCGGCCACAUUGGGACUGAGACACGGCCCAAACUCCUACGGGAGGCAGCAGUAGGGAAUCUUCCACAAUGGACGAAAGUCUGAUGGAGCAACGCCGCGUGUGUGAUGAAGGCUUUCGGGUCGUAAAACACUGUUAUAAGAGAAGAACGUCAGUGAGAGUAACUGUUCAUUGAGUGACGGUAUCUUAUCAGAAAGGGACGGCUAAAUACGUGCCAGCAGCCGCGGUAAU